UACGACAUUAAGAAUAUCUUUAUUUAUAACAAAUUUAAUCAAUAUUUCUUGAGUUUUUAAAUAUAAAUUUAAUAAAAUUUUAAAACCUUUAAAAAAAAAAUCUAACAUAUAACAAUGUUAUAGCAAACGAUGCUUCUUCAAAAUUGGAAUAUUUCUUAACCUAAAAAAUUCUCGAUUCAAUCUUUCAAUAAAAGAAUUCGCCAAACAUUCGCUAUACAUACACUUUAUAGCCAACUUUAAUAACGAGUCCAAAAUACCGAAUUCCAAAGUACAAAUUCCAAACGCCAAAUCUCUAAUCCACUUAUAACACGAUGAACAAGAUCCGGAGGAACGAGCGAUCUCGCGUCAAAUUAGCGUUACAAAUGGUACUCCGCGAUCCACGACAUAACCUCUUUCCACUUGCCGAGACUUCCCCUCGCUCUACUUCCCGUCCUCUAAAUCGAAACGCAACUGUUGCACGGUAUUACAUUUUCACGGAUUUCGAGAACGGAAGAAACAUUUCAAUUUAAUCGCGAGGCAAAAGCACAUGCCGAACAGAAGCCUAGCGGGUUACUCACAGCUCAUGAUUCAUUCGUGGAUCAUCCACGGCGUACGUGUGUAUUAAUCGGGUUCGCGCGAAACCUGUCGCCUCGGCCCUACCCCUCCCCGAUCUUUUCCAUGGAAGCUCGCGGGAAUUUACGAGGUGCACACAGGCCCACAAAUCUGCGGUAAUAACCGUGCGUACGCAUCGGCCGCGUAUAUCCAUCAGCCGCUCGAUACGGCAUCUUGAUAAGUUGAUGGCUCGCGCGCAGCUCGUGUUGCUCGUCGAGGCAACAGCCGCACUUUUCGCCGAACUCAUCGUGCUUCCGUGUGUUCCGAGUAUCGGCAGGGUUUUUAAAGCGAGGUGUGUUCACGCGAGGUUAAAAUCUCACGAUCCUCGUAUCGAUUUAUCCAGGCUUUCAUUUGCGGGAAUGAAGCCGAAAUUUGAUUCAGUCGUCGAUCCGUUGGUUGAUUUUUGGAGUAAGUAAAGUUUAACGCGAGAUCGUUGUGGAAAUAUCGAAGAUUUUUUUUUGUUGAAGGUAUUUAAGGGAAGGCAGCUUACAUAUGUAUAUAUAUAUGUUUUUGAGAUAUAUAUUGUCAAGAAUGUUCUCCCGACUGAAUAAAUUUUACUUCGAUAUGUAAUAAUGCUUAAGUUGAUAAUGAUUAAACGCCAUAUCCUUCGAGGAUAAUUUCCAACGCAAUACCAUAAUUUGUGAGAGUGUAUAGUAUAUGCGGGGAUAUUAUUGGGUGCCUGAUAAUACCAUAUCUCCUAGGAUAAUGCGAAUUAAACCGUGUUACCGCUUAUUCAUUUUCAAGUGGAAAAAUUGAAACGUAAUUCUAGUCCGUUGAACGAAAUUCGUGUGGUCUUUUGACAUUCUUGCGAAAUUGUAAAUCGUGAUAACGUUUUCAAUAAUUGUAAAUAAUUUCAAUAAUUGUAAAAAACACAACUAGUGUAACAUUUCUACUUCGUCGUGUACUUACAAUCGAGUUAUUGAAAUUUCUAAAUUCUGAAAAUGUAUAAAUUUACAAUGAAUAAUUAUUAGAAAUAAUUAUUAGAAAAAUUCAAUGUCAAAUUCUUUGUCAUAAUUCUAAAAAGUACGUUCUAUUAUGUAAUAGUAUUUGAUAAUGUAUAAAUAAAGAAAAAAUUACUUUGA